GACGCAAUGAAGGGCUCAUCAUCCUACAGUCUGAGCUGCCCCGCUGCGGAUACCAGUGCCUCGUCAGGUUCCACGUUUCAUCCCUUCGCGUAAGUUACAACUUACAACCAAUCUAAAAGGGAACUCAGUUCUUUGCUUGUGCUAGAAGAUGAUGAACAGCAUAGGCUCAAUACAUAAUCUAAAUGCCACAGAUCAAAUGCAGAAAUUGCUCAAGAAGCGAAAAAGAGGCCAUAAGCUUCGGAGACUCAUCGCCCUAUGUACAAGAGAAGAUAAAAAGGUAUUGCAUAGUGACUUGUCAUUCUGCUAUUCGAAGCCACAGAAGAUGACAAGGAUAUCUACGCAAAACAGACUCAGAGCAUCAAUCAGGUUCUGGC
rnacentral:lncRNA from 1 species